AGAGGCUACUGCUAUCGGGGUUCGAUUAAGCCAUGCGAGUUAAAUGUUCUUCGUGAACAUAGCGAACUGCUCAGUAACACGUGGAUAACCUACCCUUAGGACCGGAAUAACCCCGGGAAACUGGGGAUAAUACCGGAUAAGCCAUAGACGCUGGAAUGCCCUAUGGUUCAAAGCUCCGGCGCCUAAGGAUGGAUCUGCGGUCUAUCAGGUUGUAGUGGGUGUAACGUACCUACUAGCCGACGACGGAUACGGGUUGUGAGAGCAAGAGCCCGGAGAUAGAUUCUGAGACACGAAUCCAGGCCCUACGGGGUGCAGCAGGCGCGAACACUUUACAAUGCGGGAAACCGCGAUAAGGGAACCCCGAGUGCCAGCAUCAAAUGUUGGCUGUCCGGAUGAUUAAAAAUCAUUUGUUAGCAAGGGCCGGGCAAGACCGGUGCCAGCCGCCGCGGUAACACCGGCGGCCCGAGUGGUAGCCGUUUUUAUUGGGUCUAAAGGGUCCGUAGCCGGCUUGAUAAGUCCUUUGGGAAAUCUGGCAGCUUAACUGUCAGGCUUCUAAGGGAUACUGUCAGGCUUGGGACCGGAAGAGGUAAGGGGUACUCCAGGGGUAGGAGUGAAAUCUUGUAAUCCCUGGGGGACCAUCUGUGGCGAAGGCGUCUUACCAGAACGGGUCUGACGGUGAGGGACGAAAGCUGGGGGCGCGAACCGGAUUAGAUACCCGGGUAGUCCCAGCCGUAAACGAUGCUCGCUAUGUGUCAGGUAUGGUGCGACCAUAUCUGGUGCCGUAGGGAAGCCGUGAAGCGAGCCACCUGGGAAGUACGGCCGCAAGGCUGAAACUUAAAGGAAUUGGCGGGGGAGCACUACAACGGGUGGAGCCUGCGGUUU
rnacentral:rRNA from 1 species